rnacentral:rRNA from 1 species
UACAGAGGUCUCAAGCGUUGUUCGGAUUCAUUGGGCGUAAAGGGGGUGUAGGUGGCGCCGUAAGUCGGGUGUGAAAUUUCGGAGCUUAACUCCGAAACUGCAUUCGAUACUGCGGUGCUUGAGGACUGGAGAGGAGACUGGAAUUCAUGGUGUAGCAGUGAAAUGCGUAGAGAUCAUGAGGAAGACCAGUGGCGAAGGCGGGUCUCUGGACAGUUCCUGACACUGAGACACGAAGGCAAGGGGAGCAAACGGG